CAGUCGCCGCGGUAAUACGGAGGGAGCUAGCGUUGUUCGGAAUUACUGGGCGUAAAGCGCGCGUAGGCGGUUACUCAAGUCAGAGGUGAAAGCCCGGGGCUCAACCCCGGAACUGCCUUUGAAACUAGGUGACUAGAAUCUUGGAGAGGUCAGUGGAAUUCCGAGUGUAGAGGUGAAAUUCGUAGAUAUUCGGAAGAACACCAGUGGCGAAGGCGACUGACUGGACAAGUAGUGACGCUGAGGUGCGAAAGCGUGGGGAGCAAACAGGAUUAGAUACCCGGGUAGUCCCUGUCUCUUAUAC
rnacentral:rRNA from 1 species